UCCCGUCUGGGCUGGGUGUCAUGCGCAGUAAAGCUGCGGCCAUGUUCUCGGAUAAAUAUAUGCAAAAUUUUGAUAUUUUGAUUAUUUUGUGUGCCGCGCAAGCUAAAAACAAUGGUUAUAUACCCGCAAAAUGCAGGAGAAAUUAACAUAGGAAUACAUGAGCAUGCUACAAUAAUGUUCCGAUCAUGGAAGAUAUCAUGGAUGGAAGUUUCUCAGUAGAAAUGACAUCAAAGUGUAUGUUAAUUUGUGAAAGAUGACGUGAGACAGUGAAAAUGUGUUCUUUCACAGCCAAAGACUUUCUAUUUACAUAGACACCCUUAUUUACCAGAUAUAAACAUGAACUUUGACAAUGGUCAGGGUCUGAAAUUUGGAGUGUCAAACUAUGGCCAGGGAUUGGCAAAUGCCACCAAUGUGUGUCACUUUCAGUAUAUGGGGAUGGGUGAGGCUCAAGGGGCCAUGAAACCUGGCCAAGGGAUACCACAGAUGCCAGUUGACCGAAACACAUUUGUUCCUCCUUAUCACAAUGUUGGACUGGCCCACCAUCAAGGCAACCCAGCAGCCCAAGCAGGUUUUCCAAUGGGGGUCAAUAUCUCUAUGUCGUCACCCAUGUCUUUCAACUCCCUGCCCCCAAUGGAAAGCUUUGGUGGACACAACCAAGGAUUCCCACCCAACCAGAGACCGGGGAUGAACUACAAAAACUUCAAUAACUGGGUCGGUCCAAACCAGAGCAAUCAGACCUCCCUUCCAAGCAUUGGUCACCUGUGGUCACACUUCCAACAACAGCAGAUUCAGAAGCAUACCGUGCAACAGCCUCCCCCACACCAACAGAACUUCUACCCUAACCAGCAGCACAUGCAGGGUUUCCAAAACACACUUGCCCUCAGCCCGAAUAUGGCUGGGGGACCUCGAGGACAGAACAUCAGCUAUCAAUACCAAGCUCAGAAUCCAACCGUUGUGAACCAUUCUAGGAUGUAUCAAAAUUUCCCCCAGGAAAGAAUGCAGAACUGUAUAUAUGGAAGUCAGAACGUUCCCACAGUCAGUCAGAGUGUAGCUGGUGUGAAUGAUCAACAUAUUGCUAAAGCACCUGGUCAGUCACAUCCGGUACACCAUGUAGAAACGGCUGGUCCUCAGGUGACCGCUAUUUGUAACCAGGUGACUAAAACUACCACCACAAUCACCAUGACCACCUGUAACAGUUCUCCCCUGACCACUGCAAUGGCACAUGUGAAUGUGACGGUUCCUUCUGUUCUGACAUCGGUGGCUGUGACCAAACCUGCAGAAGGACCUGGAGGGAGUCCGCGAAACACUCCAGGGGUGGAGGCAGGGCCACCAGUCAGUGUAUCAGGUUGUGCUUCACACCACACUAAGCCCAAAGUAAGUGAUGGUGCAGAUUCGGAGGGAACUGAAUGUGAACAAGACUCCAUGGAAUCCAAAGACAUUGAACCGAGUUUGCAGAUUGUGAAGGUACCAUUUGGCUGGAGACGGACGACAGAGAAUGGGACAGUGGUGUACUACAGCCCCAGCAACACCAGGCUUUGUUCUUACCAUGAAGUAUGCAAGUAUCUGUCUGCUGAGGGCACCUGCAAAUGUGGGUUGGAGUGUCCACUCUUGGUGGAGAAGGUGUUUAACUUUGAUCCAUUGGUCAAUGGAAAACUCUGGACUGUGGAUGAUAUGGCUACAGGGGACCUCACCAAGUUGUGUAUUCACAAACGUAAAAUUAUUGCAAUGGCAACUUUUCAGAGUAGUCGAUCAAUGUCUGUUUCUAAAGACACGGAUAAGAUCAGUCAUUCAGGAACAGGAGGUCAUUCGAGGAAAGGCAAGAAGAGCAAAAGUAAAGUGAACUCUACACCUUAUGAUGGACUGUUGGUAUCACAGCUUCUGGCUCAGAAAGGAAAGGUGAAACCACCGAUGAAUCACACCCACAAACACACCAAAUCAAAGGGUGAUGGUUCACAAAAUCCCAUAGAUGGGCCUGGAUCUAAGUCGUCAAAUAAUGUCACUACUGUUUCUAAUGCUGUACCAAAGAUGUUUGAAAAUAAGUCAGUUCCAUGCAAAUCUCAAGCUUUGCAACAGUUACAACAGUUAAAUAAGCUCAACAACUCUGUCGGCAAUGUACUGCCUGAUCCAGCCGAUGACCUUGGCCCGAUAACGUGCCAAGUCCCGGCUAAGCUGGACUUUAGCAAAGAAGGCUUCCUGGAGGAUCAGAAGAAUAGGCUUCAGACGUCUAUGGCUGGACAUACUGUUGGCCAGGCAAUCUUCCAUCAAGGGUCUGUGUCCCCUCAAGCUCCUUUUAGUCAAGAACAACUGAAGCACCAGUUGUUGAUGCAACAGUCUGCUUCCCCAUGUGCUCCUACUGCCAGUCCCUCUUUAGUCAAUUCUGUUCCAAACCACAUGUACGGACCAAAUGUUCCUCAACACUUCCAGUGCCAGUUGCCUAUGAAUAUGCAGCAGAAUUCUGGAAACAUUAUGUUCCAGACUCUGAUGCAUGUGCAGAAUCCACAAGCCCAAAGAUUUACGAACCCUCCUGUGUUUGAACAAGCCAACAUGCAAGGAAAUCAUUUGCAGGUUGGAUCCCAACCAAAUCUCAUGAUCAACCAGGGCUAUCCUCAUCUAGGUAAUCUGACCUGGCUGGACCCAGGGAAACCGAAGGCCAAGAGGCCUAGAAGCAAGAAGGAUAAACAGAAGUUAAACAGCAUUCUUGAUAGGACAUCUCCUUGUCCGAAUGUUGAUGUCCGACACAUACCUCAGGAAGCAUCAAAGAAUCCAUCCAGCAUCAAUACUAGUGUAUCAUUCAUGGAAAAUCCAGCAGCAUUUCUUGCUCAACAAACAGCUCUUGUUCAUAGUUCAUUAAGUUCCACAAAGACAGAUAUGUCUCAACCAAGUCCUCGGACACCACAACCUUCUGUAUCCACCCCUCCAAGUGUAUCCACCUCAGUUCAGAAUAAGUCUGUUCCUGUAACCACAGCUUCUUCACCAGCAUCUGAACCUACAGAAGAGGUACCAGAUAAAGUAUUGCCACAAAGAACAUGUAGUAUUAGUGAACCAUCUGCAACGUCUAGUACAUCAACUGGCACAGUGACUACUGCUAAAACCCCAGGAUUGUUGAAAGUUGAUGACGGUGCAAACUGUGAUAGAUCAGAUACGCCUGCUAUAGAGAAAUUGGAUGUUUCUGAGAAAGAAGCAAGUGCAUCUGAACAGUGUUGUGAUGACAAAACCAGAUCAAGUCCUGCCAGCAAUGCCACUCUACCUUCAGAUGCCAAAGCAAACUCUUUAGAAUCAAGUGAGCCUAAGGACUCUGAUUGUGUCAGUGAAGCGAACACAACUAACAGCACUAAGCCAAACAUUUCACAGCAAAGCCAAACACCUACAAGCAGCAAUGCCGCUAUUGUCACCCUUGCUUCCACUGCCUCUGCAACAGAACCAGCCACUACUGCAACAAAUUUGGUAAUGCCAAGUGAUAUUUCUGAAUUGAUAGCUGCUAAUAAUCUUAACCUCAAUGCUGUCCAACAGGCUUUAAGUCAGCAAGGACCAGGUGAGUUUCCUGCCAGCACACUACUGUCUGCCGCGGCAAGAGCACAGGGGUCUCAACAAAACCCACUUAAUGUUCUACUAGGCCAGCCAAUGCAGGUCAGCCCUACUUUGCAAGUUCCCACUGGGCAAGAAACCGCUACACCAACCGCCAUUCCCGACAUGAUGAGCAAAGCAGGCAUUAACACGUUAGAUCAGUUGAAUUUAUCUCUACAACAGCAAGGUGGUGGAACUCUCAUGCUUCCUCAGAACCCAAAUAUUUUGGCAGGUGCUCUUCCUGGGGGUUACAUCAAUACACUGAAUGGUCCAACUGUGCAAGGAUUACCUCUCAACAUGUUCCUGCCUGUCAAUCAACCAAUAGGCAAUUCCACAGGUUUGAAUCCUGCUCAAAACUUAUUAAUUGGUCUUGAUCCUAAGUCAGGUGCCAAUUCACAGACUUCAAAACAGGCCACAACAACAGGUAGAGUUUCUGGAGUAGAGUCUACUAAAGGUUUGGAUGGCUUUAAUGGACCAGCUGUGAACUUCCCAACACUCUUUGCAAAUGUUGCUAGUGGCCCUAGUACUAUUGGUGCUAACAUGAAACUUUCAACAACAUCUUCCUCAAAUGCAUCCCAAGUUUCUGCUGGUGUCAAUGCUUCUUUGCUAAACAAUCAGUUCCCCUAUGUCACAAUGAACACUCCUAUGCCUCCGAUGUCCCUUCCCCUUGUAACCAAUGUCACAAACAGCCUAUCACAAGUGAUCCCAGCUGUUGGAGUUCCUCAGACAGUCCUGAAUCAACAACCUGUUACAUCACUCAUCAGCACUGUCACUGUCCCAACAUUGAACAAUUCCGUUGUCAUUACAAACCAAAUACCCUCAAUGCAUACUUCUCAGACUGGGACACAGAAUAUUGCAUUUAUGGGAGUACAACAACCUCAAGGGGGUGAGCCUGAAAACAAUGCAAAUGUAGGCACAGCCGAAGAUGUCAACAGUGUUGGCAGUUCUAUGGCCAGUACUGAAACAGUGUGUGUAAGUGAAAGUGGCCAAGCUAAUGUUCCAAAGCUUGAGACAACCCAUCAGGGUGUGGAGACACUCAUGAACAAACUGGUAAAUCAAACUGAAGUCAUGGAACAAAUGAACAAUAACACAGGUCAGGUUGUGCUUCUUCCGAAUCCAAAUAUUCCCCUUCUUCAGCUGUAUGGAGCUAAUCCAUUGUUAGCAGCACCUGGGAUAGAUAAGUUUGGUUUGAACAGUAUGCAGCAGGUCAUGCUCCAUGGCACAAUGAUUGAUCCACAGCUGUGCCAAGGUCAGCCUGCUGUAGGAGGGGGCCUCAAUCUCCUCCAGAUGCAACAGAUGUGGAACAAUGCUGGUAACGGCAACAUGACCAAUCUGAAUGCAAUACAACUUCAACAGCUUCAGGCACUUCAGCUGCAGCUUCUGCUGCAACAGAUCCAAGGAAUGCAAUCCCUUGUCAACCAAAUCCAGCUCCACGGUGCUGCUCAACAGACCCUUAAUCCAGAUGGAACCAUACCAACUCAAGUCCCCACUGUGGGAGAAGUGGAAGAGGAAGUAAAGGUUGAGGUGAAAGAAGAAGAGGAAGAGGAGGAGGAGUAUGGGGAUACCCAAGAUGCUGAUCUGAGUCCUUCAGGGGAAUGUGAAUUCAAAAGUGAAUGUGAUCAAAAUUUAAGCAAGAAUUACUCUCCGGAUCAACCUGUUAAUGAAAAUGAUGUGGGUUAUGGCAUAAAAGAUUCAGUUGAAAAUGAGGUUUCUCAAGAGCCCAAAGCUGUAUGUGAUGCAACAGGUGCUGGUGCAAAUGACAUUACCUGUUCGAAGUCUGAAGAUGGGGACAGUUUAGUUGAGACAUCACAGACUAAGAAAGAUCAUGAAUUUUGCGUUAGUGAGAAUUCAAGGAGUGACAGUGAUAAACAGUCAUGGCAUAAUACUGACUCUGAUGAUGUAUCCUCGUCAACUAUGUCUGUGUCUGAUUCAGCGGGUGAACAAAAAUCUUGUGACACUAACCUGUUGGAUUCCUCUAAAACUGGUACAGCUUUGAGAACAAAACCACAAAAAGAAUCAUUAGGUGAGUCUCCUUCAGUGUCAAAUGCAGUACUGGGUCGCGGGUCAUCAUCCAGCAGUGUACUGGAUGGGUCAGCAGCAUCAGCUUCAGAUCUGCCCCAUGUGAACCACAACGGGCCGGAGGAGGACUUGUGUGAUGAUACUGAUUCACUGGAUGAUGACAUGUCUCUCGAUGAUCUGCGGAGGGGGUUGAAACGAGCCAGAACAGAUGAUGAGACUGAUGUGGACUCCACUAGCAUUGACAACUACGACGAGGAGUCCAUUGACGGCAUGGUGUCUGAAGGCUACCUUCAGAACUUCUCCACAGGGGAUGUUGUAUGGGGUCAGAUCCGAGGCUUCCCGCUGUGGCCAGGCAAGCUGGUUCCAGAAAGUGCUGCUGAGGGCAUUGAACUGAACCCCUCCCUAGAGGACAGAGCAGAUGCCGUGCUGGUCAUGUGGUAUGGGGAUCACACAUUUACUCGGGUUGAGCCUCAAAGACUCAAGACAUGGGGCGAAGGAAUGGUUGCUCAUCACAAAACCAGGAGGAAAUACCGCAGAGGCAGGAAGAUGAACUCCCAUCUGGAGGCGGCUAUCCAGGAGGCUGUGAAGGACAUAAAAGACAUGCCAGUCGUGAACUCUGAAACAGCCGCAGUGAAACCUUCAGUGAAGGGGCGUGCCACAAAGAAAAGGAAGGCUUGAUGCCGCAUGGAUUAUUUCAGUGUACAGUCAAACACUGAAGAGAGCCUACAUUCAUCCACUGUUUUAUGGUUGGACAGUGAAUGUCCAGGGAUAUAGUAGGAUAAUGAUGGAAGACAUUGACGAUAUAUGACAUGCGAUGGACAGUGUUUAUUUAUGUCCAGUCAUUAGGGAAUUUACUUUCCUGGGAAUUGAAGUUUGAGAUUGAUGUGAUGUCUGUUUAGCUCAGCAAAACCAUUUUUGAAGGAUUUUGAAAUUUUGAGAACCUGCAUUUUGAAGGAUGUCUGCUGGUUUGUAAACAAUAUGUACAGUUCAUUAUGGCAUGAACAUUAAUUAGGCUCUCCUCACAACAGUUUAUGAGUACUACCUACAAUAUCAGCUUCAUCUGAUGAAGUCAUGACUUGGACAGCAUACUAGAAUUUGAAAUUGAAGAUGAAAUAUUUUGUGCCAAUGUUGAAAGUCUAAGGACACGGUGUGGAAAUUGUGUUAUUUUGUGACAGAUGAAUUACUACCAAGUCUGAUGAAGGGGUUCUUUUUCGAGUCCAGGUGGGUGGUGGGUGGGAUGUUACCUGCAAAAAGUUUGUCGUGUCGUCUUCUUCGAUGGGUUGUUAUGAUGUCUCUCACAAGUAACAGUUAUUGUAGUUUCUGCCUCGAUAUGUUCUCUUGAAAUCAAGGGUUGGGUGACUGCCAAUUGAUUAAUCGACGGAGAUUGACAAAUGAGGAGUCACUUCACCCUUGACAUCUAAUAAGGCAGAGGGAAAGCAUACGAUAAUUAUUUUCACCAAUUGUCAUCCACAUUAGGUGGCAAGAAUAUGCAAAGUAUUCAUGAGGAAAGAUCACAAAAGAAAAGGUGCAGUCAACGGUUGAAAAUUCCAUUAUGAUUGGGAUGUGCCUGGCAAUUGCAACAGACAAUUUAUUAGAUUUUUGACUAUUUGAACUGCAGGUCCAGCUGCAUGCCUCAUGCAUUGAAGCGAUGUUGAUUGAUAAAAGUGACGGCACUUUUGAUGAAAAAUCCAGUUGUGCAGUCGUCUAGUGCGAAAAAGGUGACCCCCUUAAAUUCAAGAAAUAAGUCAGUUGAGACUUUUGUUAAAUAAUUGUUUCGACCAUGGACGUAUUCACAGAUAUUGAAAGAAUGAAACAAACUUUCCGUAAUCUAACUAGAAAAUAGUUAAUUGCCCAACCCGUCCUGGGUUCAUCAAGUACCUUGUAGUUCAGACAAGGAGAGUGUCAAGUUGAGGUCUUAUUUUCAAAGAACAGACCAUAAGUCAACAUGGUUUCCAAGGUUUGACUGAACAGAGAUAAACACUGGUGUGGCAGAGAGUGUCAACUUAAUGCUAUAUUAUCAAUGAGUAGGCCAUAAAGUGUCAUUGUUCCCAUCUUGUUUUUGAGUAAAGGACCUCAGGUUUGCAAGGUUUAUCUGUACAGAAACAGGUUGGUCUGGCAGAGUGGUAGCAUGGUGGAGAGUGGUUUGGUUUUAUUUUGUCAGUGUUCCCCAGUGUGGCUGCGGAACUGCCACAAGAGCCACAGACUACUCACUUGUUCUCAUUUGUGACAGUUUCUUUGCUGGAAGAGUUCCGCAGUGCGGCAGUAGAAUUACCUACCACAAGGCCCAUGAACACCUCCCUUCACUUGUGAACAUUGUGGCACCACUGUUGGUGUUGGUGUUGGGUACUAUCAUGACAGGCUCUCAUCGCUCUUUUCAUAAACAUUUUGAAGAAUUUAUUAAAAUGUAGGUCAUUCAAGGGUUGGUUUUCUGUUCUGUCUAUGUCUACAAUGGUCUGGUGUGUUCAUUGAGCAUGGCUAUGUUAAUCUGAGAAAUUGUUCAUUCUGUUUAUAAGUUGUGAUAGGUAGAUCUGUUUCAAAGUUCUGCGAUAUGAUGUUAGUCACUUGGGUAUGGGAUUUCCUUUAAAGAUGAAUGAUAAAGUGCUGUGGUGUUCAGGCCGGAAUUUGUUUAAUGCAGUGUUGGCAGAAACUGAAGAGAAACAGGCUGAAGGCUUCUGUCAGUCAAGACAUUCUUGAAUAGUUAAUGGAUGUUUUACUUCACAAGUUGGUGGGAAGGUCAUUUAUUGGACGGUGUAAAUUUUAGUUUCGGAAGAAAAUUUAUUUUUCUAAGACGAAACAUGAGUUGUUACCUUCUAAACCUCUCUGUAUAGUACUGUCCCAGCGAAACAUGAUCUGAAAUAUUUCAAAUGCACAUGACAUGCAAAUUCUAUGUAUGUUUGUCCGUGUUGUUUGGGGCAUAAUUGCAUAAUGUAAACACAGGCAAUAUUGACAUUUGUUUUCUGAAUUGAUGGACAGUUUCAUGUUGGUAAUUUAAUGUUUGGUAGUGUUCAAUAAUUGGUCUUGUGUUCAUUUGUCAAGCACAGCUGCUGUUGCUCAGGUAAUGUUUCCUGUGUAAAUGUGUCAGGGGGUUGAUACAGCUCGAACCUUACUCAGAGCCAAAAUGUGCGCUCCAAAAAGCAGGUUUAGAUAGAUUUUCAGAUAAACGGUUAACAGUAAAAUUCUAGGCGAUUCUUAUUAUUAAAACAGGUUAUUGGAUCCUCUAAAAUGAACUACCUAUUUGAACAGGGACCCAUUCCACAUUGCGAUUUUAGCUCUAAGAUGAUCGUAACUCCCAUACUUUUGCAUAGACUUACUACAAUCGUAGCACUAAGAUGAUCGUAACUCCCAUGCUUUAGCAUAGACUUACGACAAUUGUAGUGCUAAGAUGAUCGUAACUCCCAUACUUUUGCAUAGACUUACGACAAUUGUAGUGCUAAGAUGAUCGUAACUCCCAUACUUUUGCAUAGACUUACGACAAUUGUAGGUCAAAGAUGAUGGUCACUCCCAUACUUUAGCACAGGCUUACAACAAUCAUAGCGCUUAAAUCAUUUUGUGGAAUGGGGCCCUGAGCUAGCAGUAUGCACAUUUAUAUUUUGACCCUUAGAAAAGCAUCCAAAAUAUUUUACUGCGAGACCAAUUAAAUUUGAGAUCAAGGCCCUGUUGCACAAAGCAAUCGUAGCGCUACGUCUGUCAAAGGCUAUGUUAAAGUAUAUGAUUAAUGAGUCAUGACCUUAUGAUCGCUUUAUGCAACAGGCCCUGAAAAAAAUUUGAAAUGAUCUUUUUGCUUUCUUACUGCUGUUUUCCCCGCCUAGUGAUAAGGAUUUUGAAAGAAAAAUACAGACAUUAAUAAAUAAUGAUAAUUCCAACAGAUUUUGCUCGAGGGAGAUUUGGUAGUUGUUAAGUGUUUAGUUCUGUUCCUACUGUGAGUGUAGGAGCUAUAUUUUAUGAAGUAGUCAAAGAUAUAACUGUUGUUGGCAUUUCCAUGUGAGGUAGUGUAUGUUUAGCAAUGAUCAGUGCUUUGUUUGAGGCCAGGGUCAGUGACUUAUUGUCUGUUAUUGUUAUGUUUUGGGAGGGACAGUGGACAGUACACUGGCGGACAUUCCUGUCCCCCAUCUCCGACAACUCGGAGGUUUCAACAUGUAUGAUGAUGAUUAUUUCUUGAGCAAUAGACGUACCUUCUCCAUCAGUUGGUACUGCCGAAAUCGGUGUCUGGGUAUUUAAUCAGACUUAUAUGAUGCAUUUUCAAAUUUACUCUGUGCAAGAGAGAUGAUUUAUUUUAACACUUUCAUGCUUAAUUUAUUGUUACUGAAUUUGUGACUGAUAUUGUCUUCAUUAAAAACCGGAAAUUGAUGGAUGCAGAUAGAGCAAACCACAUCCUUAAUGUGUUCAUGUAGAAAUAUUUAGUUCUGAUAUUUUCCUACCAAACCCUCUGUGUGUUGUUCAGCUUGGUGUGUGUUUUCAGUUAAAGCUUCAUGGUUACUGUAUGGCUCUGUGAUAUGUCCAAUGUGUACAGGUGUUAUUUAUUUGUGAUACUUCCUUUUGCAUAAUACCUUGCAGAUUUACUUCACUCUUAAGGCUUAAUUAUAUAAUAAUUCUCUAUAAGCUUAAAAGUUUAUGCCUGUGAAUUUAUUGAAUCAGAAACUCCGUCACAAACAUAUUACUUGUACUUUGAAAUAUAUAUAUUAAUCAAGAAUUUUUUGCAUAAGGACAUCCUUUGUCUCUUCCAUUGCUAAGCAUAGGGCAAGUCUAUAUAUUGUAUCUCUAGCUGUGUGUUAAGUGUAAUAUCCUAUAUCAGCUGAAACUACCGUACACAGGACUGGUCAAGUCCGAACGUGAGCACCCAAUCAGAGACAGGGUAUCACUUAAGCCUUACCUCAUUGGGCUAAGCUCAGUUCAACACAAGCAUGAACACUUACUAUAUUUUGUUUUGGUUUGGAGGAGUUACAUAGACAUUUUUACACCAUAAAUCAAACAAUUAUUUUGACAGUUGGGUUGAAUACAAAAUUGUAUAUUUUUUUUGUUAACUUAGUUAACUUAUUUGCUCUGUAUGAAGAAUAUGUUUGAAAAUUUUGUUGUGGUUUGAAAUGGUUUCAUUUUCUUGACUCCAGGCAGGCAGGAUUGUGGGAAUUGACAAAUGAAACUCCUUGAAAACAUUAGGUAUUACUAAGCAAUGUCAGAAACAUAAUACAGAUAAGCAAAUCUCUCCAAUUUUGGAGGCGAGCUUGAGAAAGAAUUAACUUAUCUUUACAAUCAAGUUGAACUUUCAGUAUUUUUCAAUUACAUUCAAUCUAUGCUUCGAUGCAGUGACUGAUACCAUCCUUUCAUUUGGCCUGAUUAAUUUGUGGUUUAACAGUUGUAUUUGUUGAUGAUUUGUUUAGGGGACAUUGGGGCCAGUAAGGUGCCACAUGUUGCUGUGAACAGUUGAUUUCUUCGUUAGGACAGGAUCCUUUAAUCAUAUGUUUGAAUCCCAGGUUUACCCUGGUCAAUAUUCUUGGUUUGUCAGCACCAUAUCCAUGUUCAUCAGGACAGGAUCCUUUAAUCAUAUGUUUGAAUCCCAGGUUUACCCUGGUCAAUAUUCUUGGUUUGUCAGCACCAUAUCCAUGUUCAUCAGGACAGGAUCCUUUAAUCAUAUGUUUGAAUCCCAGGUUUGCCUGGUCAAUAUUCUUGGUUUGUCAGCACCAUAUCCAUGUUCAUAGUCUUCACCAAAUUGGUCCGCGUGAAAAAACGAUGGAUCAUUUUGGACUUUCUUGCCUCAUUUGGCUUAUUGACAUGCUGUGAUUUAGCUGAAAUAGUGUUAAAAAUGGCAUUAACCCAACUCACUCACUCACCCACUCUGAUUUGUUCAACCUUGAUACAUACUGUUCUUCAUUUAUUCAGGUUUGGUGACUCCUACUAUGAUCUGAAUUGUUUUUAGAUUUAAUUAGAAAUAGAGACCCAAAAUUGCAGAAUUUGGCAUAAUAUUUGACAGUGUAAACAGACCUGAAGUAAAUGUUAAUAUGAGUUUAACAGUUCAGUUAUAAGAUGUCAAUAAUUAGUUAUAGAUUAACAAAUUAUGUUGUUGCUGGCGUUAAGGAAAACAUUGAAGCUUUUUGUUGAAAGUUUAAUUUUGUUCAUUAAUGUUAUAUUUGUUUGCAAUGUUGAUGGCAUUAUAUUUUUAUCAUUGAAAAUAGACUGACUAAAAGUGUAUGGCAUUUUUGAAGAUAUUGCGUUUAUGUUAAUUUCUCUCCUAAGUAUUUGUUAUGUGUGCAAGAUCAAAGAUAGUUUACUUUGUAGUUAUACAUUUAUGAUUAAAUUGACUAAGGAAACGUUCCGAGGUUCUAUGUGAUGUCCACUUUUGACCAGGAGAAGAUGCUUCAGGCUGCUUGUGCUUAUGUGGUUACUGUUAGUGCUUAUGUGGUUACUGUUAGUGCUAUAGUUAUUACUGUGUGUUGUGCAGAUUUAAUUUAAGCUUGUUUGUUUAGAAUCUCAGAAUAUUCUAUGGUGUUCAAUGUUGUGUGAAAAGUGCUUCAAAGGGAGACAACUGCCCAUUUUACUGACCCAUCGCUCACAAUGCUUGCAAAUGGCGAGAUUGUGUUUAUUGUGUCCGUGGUCAGAUUCCGAUGUAUUUGUGUUUGAGCAUAGAGAUAUACACAUAUUUUAUUUGUUGUUUUGUUGGACAAUCUUUUUUUUUAAUUGUACAUAAACAUUUUAUCCCUAAUGCUACACCAGUAGUUAUAACUGACCCAGUUUUAAUGCUGAUAAAAGUUGAUUUCGUUUGUAUAUAUUGAUAAUUAAUAUGAUGUUUUGUACAUAGUCAACCAUUUCGUGCCAUGUAUGGAUACAGAAGUAUACUUAUCUUAAUGUUAAAAGUCCUCAUGUGCUCAAAGCACACAACCGAUGUCGUGUACAGAAAAUUUGUAUAAUGUGAUAUCAUGUUAUUCAGUGUUUAUUUACAGUCUUAAUCACAGCUUAGUGAGUCAUGUGACCAGGGUCAUGUGACAGGAUCAGAUACCGAGGGAAUCAUCGUCUUGCAUAUAUUUCUGUGACUUGUUUAUCAAUAACCAUUGAGACAGUAUGCCACAGAUGAACUGUGGGUCUACUGAAGCUACUUGCCUGUCCUUCACAGGCUGACACAAGCAAUGACGGAUAGAUGUAUUCCCAUGUUUAUCAUACUCCCAAUGUUCUGUAUUAAACUUCAGUUUAUUGUUCACA
rnacentral:misc_RNA from 1 species